AAAGUGAAAGGUCCUCUCUGAAACAGGAUAGGUAACAGGAGUGUGAUCGCUCCUGGGGCCUGUUUCAAGAAGAGGGUUUAGUGAAAACUUAAAGUUUAAGCCGUUUUACUUUGCAGGGUGUUAAACACGCCGGGAGAGAAUCAGGCCUCGAUUAGAUAUAUUGUAAUAUCCAGAUAACUACUUGUUUGAACGGUACCGUUUUUCUUCACAGUCCAUCAUAUAUGUACAUAACCUCACGCGUCCUCAUAUAACUGAUGUCUCCCAUCGUGGACAUGCUCUCACAUACGAGCACAUUCUCUGUGUAGUAUUACUUUUUUUGCAAACGACAGUUUCCUUUACAACAUUAGAAUAUUAGUAAAGCUUCUGUAUGCAGAGCCGUGAGAAACGUGUGCGUCGCUCUGACACGAACCAAUGAAGCCAAUAAAGACGAGUUCCACAGGAUGCACCUGAAUAAAACACAUAGGUUCAAUACCAUUGUUCCAGUUUUUACCAGCGAUAUUAUUAUUGUGAUUAAAUAUGAGCAUGUGUGUGUAUUUCAAGCCUGUGUGUAGUGCAUUCUAACAAUUAGUACGUAUGGAUUAUGAUUAGUGUGUAAUUUAAAUAUUAACUGACAACACUCUAUUGGAACUUUAGAUCUUUUGCUGCAGCAGCGUGUUGCUUUUCUUUCUAAUUACGGGUUCAUACUCGUCGUACGCUUGCAUUAAUAUUUCCAGGUCAAUAGGGGUGAAUAUAUUGGGUUUGGUGGUUGUCAUGGUAACUCGUAGUAUCGUGGCUCCGUUCAUGCUGCCUUCAUACUGUGGUGGUCCACACGCUCAACUCUGAUUGAACCGACUCUAAACAGCUGUUCUGAAACCCAAACCUCAGAGUUUUCCACCUCAGGGUAAAUCAACUCAGAGUUUAGGGUUUGACUCCGUGUGUCACUGUGUGCAGACUGGAUGUGACUGUUUGGUACUUUUUUCAGGUUUUAGGAAACAUUCACACACCAAACAGAGUAGUUCACACGUAAUCAUAAUCCAAGCAUGGCAGGAGAGUUG
ensembl:lncRNA